CGUUGGCAAAUUCACAAGAUCCAGAGUGUCCUCUCAUCAACUGUUUAUCAGGAUGGAGAGCUGGAUGCUUGAUCACUCCGGACAAAUGUCAAUGCUUCUGUGUGGAAAACGAGAAUCCUUGCCAAUUUAUUGCUCAGAACUUCCAAAGCAGCUGCACACCUGAUCAGUUUAUGGAUUGCAACCCAGAUGUAUCUCCAUGCACGUGU
rnacentral:lncRNA from 1 species